rnacentral:lncRNA from 1 species
ACUGCUCUCACACAAAGCCUGUUUGGUGGUCUCUUCACACGGACGCGCAUGAAAUUUGGUGCCAUGACUCGGAUCGGGGGACCUCCCUUGGGAGAUCAAUCCCCUGUCUUCCUGUUCUUUGCUCCGUGAGAAAGAUCCACCUACAACCUCAGGUCCUCAGACCGACCAGCCCAAGGAACAUCUCACCAAUUUUAAAUCAGGCAGCACCGAACCCCAGAGAGAGGCAAUGACCUUCCCAGGGGAUUUCUACAAAUUAAUAGAAAAACUGGAACUCCACUGCCCACUGCAGCACCACCAUGUCUUUCGGACAGUACCUCUUGCCACAUGGUUCAAGCGAGUCUCCUGCCUCAGCCUCCUGAGUAGCUGGGACUACACGUGUGUGCCACCAUGCCUGGACAGAGUCUUGCUCUGUUGCCAGAUUGGAGUGAAGUGGCGCGAUCUCAGCUCACUGCACCCUCUGACUCCCUGAUUCAAGUGAUGCUCCUGCCUCAGACUCCCAAAGAGUGCUAAACUCAGAAAGGCAAAACAAGGUUAGAAUGAAGCCCAUGCAAAGAAAAUAUGGACCUGAAGAAAAACAAGCUAUGGACUAUCUUCUGUCUCAUGCUAGCAGUGGAAUAGGAAAAGGACUCAAAAGACUUCUACUGGCCAUAAUGAAGUACCUGUUACUAUAUUUGCUUUCCUACCAUAAGCAACUAUAAAACUGGACAAUAUAUAGGCAACUGAUCUCAUGCAUUUCAAGCAGCACAGGAUUCUGAUAAUUAACAGAAGGAAAGCACAUGAGGAUAAUACUGGAGGCUGCCAUGGGAGAAGUCUGCACAAAAAGAGCAAGUUUAAGAGCUUCAGGAGUCAUAAAUGGCUUGAGAAGAUUAUGCUAGAGAUUGAAGCAGAUGGAAGAUUCUAGAAACAGAAAGCAUUCUUUUCAUUGGUGUGAGUCUUGAAUAUAAAUGGAAAUCAGAGGUCUGUAAUAGCAGGCCAGUGUGGAUAAGGCAGUAAGGUUUUGAGUCUGAGGAGAUGGCUGGGGGCAGUUUGUAGACUUAUUGUCAGUCCAGUGUAGAAUUUGAGAAUAUAGCCAGGGCUUAAGGUUCCAGUUUCAAAUUAAAGACAAAAGAAAUCAGCAAUACCAAAAUGAAGACAGAAGCCUGGGAAUUGUGCCUCAAGAUCUGGACUGAGAGGACAUUUCUACACAACAGCUCCCCUAAGGGCAGGGCUAUGACCGUUGUUGCUAAGCUGUCACCAUCUCUCCUUCCCUAUUAGACUGGCUUCUGUGGGGUAAUUAACCAGUACAAGGAUGUAUGGGAAGCUCUUCUGAGAAGACCUCACAUUAAAACAAAGUGUUGUUAUUCAAGCUGGGUCAUAUUUGGGCACCUUGUUAUUACAGCUUUGAGGAGGGAUAUCAAACUGUCAUAUUCACCUAUGAGUUUAGGAUCAGUGGAGGGAAGAGAACAGAAGGGCCACACAGAAGGGGAAGCUCAGGCACAGAUGGCCAGCAGCCAGGCUCGCUGUAGAGGUGAGAUUAUCAAACAUGACCAUACAAAGGCUGCAGAGGCAAGAUGCUUCCAAUAGCCAGGAAGAAUGUGGGCAGGGGAGAAUUUGGUCCAUUUGAAGUCAGAAUUAUACAUGAAGACACUUGUAAUCAAAUAAAUGCAGAACAUAUUUGUAAAGGGAAAUAAAGUAGGAGUUAAUUUUUUUUAACAAAUUAUGAUUGAAAUCUAAAAUACCAAGAUUAACAUUCUACAAGGGUAUUAAUACAACAAUGCCAUUUUAACUCAAAGAAUGUCUAAAUAUUUGUACAAAAUAGCUGCUUACUGAUGCUUGUGAAAAGGAAGAGAUUGCUUCCCAGCACACUGUAUCAGAGAGCCAUGAUAAUAGCCAUAGCUUAAGCAGACAAAGUAAAAUGUAAAAAUCCAAAAAAGUAUCCAUCACUACUACCACCACUCUUUAAAAAUGCAAAGCUAUUAUUUAUGGUGCAUUCCAAUUCAGUUAACUUCCUUCUUGCCUUUAAAUAGAUGCCCCUGACUUAAUUGAAGUGUUUUAAUUAAUAACAUAAAAAUAACAAAUUGGAACUAGAAAAUGAUUACAAAAUAGAAGAAAAGCCUGGGAAUGUCAAGAGGUUCUUAAGAAUAUCAGAUAAGUGAGCUCAUUCAGUGAUAGAACAAGAAAUACUAGAGGGAUAAGCUGAAAGCUACAUAGGACUGAAGUUUUUUAGACUCUACAUUUAUCAAAGUAUUGGGUCAAUUUUGUUGUGGACAUCAAAAGCUAUCUCAAGAAAAAGCUCAAAUUAUUACACUGCACUGGAAUUUUAGUUUAUCCAUUAAGAUUUGUAGGGAGCAAAACAGCAGCUUCCUUGUUAUAAUGCUGUUUGUCCUAAUGAGGGGAGCUUAAGGGAGGCAGAGAGAGAAGCACAUACUGUCUUAUUUCAAUAUGAAACCCAAACAGCAAGCAACUGUCUCUUCUACAGAAGUGCAACCUCAAAGAGUUCUGAGAGUUUUUGCCGUAUCACAGCUGGGACCUUGUUGUAGUCCAAAUUAGUGUGUGUUCCUCAAUAUCCUAAGGGAGGUUCAGAUAUCCUUUCAAUCAUUCUCCUGGAAUUCUGGCUUCUGAGAAUUUGAUAUGAAAUGGAAAUUGACUAACACGAAGAAAAGACAGAAACUUGGCCUAAGGCCAACCAUUUUCUUUCCUUAGUACAGGGUAACCAUAUAACUUAUUUUCAAACUUGGACAGACUCCGAAGGGGGCUCUUUUAAGAACUGUGCCAGGACAAUGGGAGUCGGUAGCAACUGUCCCAGGUAAAUGGAACAUAUACUCCAUUUAGUCAUAGAGAAUCUAUGUCUAAUAUAUUGUUUCUUUAGUUUUUGUAUAUCUUAGUAGCUAAAUAUAACUAAAUGUAGCUAGUCUUUAUAAAGUGUAAGCUUUUUAUUCUUUAAUACUGUGUGGCUUUGUGAGACUAUUUGGUGUCACAUAGGCCCUGUACCUCUGAGUUUACUGAGAAUAAAAACUUAUGAUUCAAAAAGUUAAGCAAUCAUUAACUAAGUAACUCCAAAGAGCCCUAAGAGAUCACACAAAUAUGGAUUUCUACUCUAUAAGUUUAAUUAGUCAUAGUACAGAGUGACUUAUGAGAAGCCUCAUGCCUCACGAAUGAUGAACGUUGAAUCUGUUCAUAAAUAAUAGAUUAAACUUUAAAUCAAUAACCAUUAGAGAAAACAGAAAUAUAUUAUGGUGAGUUUCAUUCAUAUAUAUAUCUGCCCCUUUCUAUAUAUUUUAAUUAAACCAAUUUAAGUCAUAAAUUCUUCAAUUAUAAUUCAGCCAUAGGUCCUUUCCUCAAAAACGAAAGAUAGUCAUCUGGCAUUAAAAGAGGAAGAAGGAAGUGAUCACUAACAGCUGGAAUCAAUGAUCAUAUAUAAAUAUAAACCAUGGUUCUCGGGGCCACUGUUUGUUUUUGUUUCGUGUUUUUUUGUCAAUAUUGAAAUUGUCCUGCAAAGUCAAAGUCAUCUUUCUAAAUCUAGUUGCUAAUACUAUGGCAUUCUCUUUUUUGCUAUUCUUAGUAUUGUAAGAAUGUGAACUCAGAACCUAUUAAUAGAAAGUCUUCCCUUUGGAAAAUGGAGCUUAGACCCAGAAAGGAGGGUGCUGCAUACCAGCUCUCUGCUCUCCUCCUCUGAACAGUCUCUCCCCUAGGUUUCCCCUCCUCCUCCUCCUCCUCCUCUCCCUGCAGGUUGGUCCCUCCAUCUCGUCACCAUUCUGACCUCUUUAAAUUUCUUUGUAUAGAAUUUUUUAAAUAAAAUUUCUUUUUAUAGCUAGAGUCCUAUUUUUUUCCUCUUUGUUUUGGGCCUAAUCUAUCAAGUAUUAACAUAUACAGUUUUUCUAAUGUGGGAGGAACAAGAUUGCUCAUUCAUUCAACACAUUUUGAUUGAGAGCCCACCAUGUUCCAGAUGCAAGGAUCAGCAGUGAAUAAAAAGACAUAAAAAUCCCUGCCCUCAUGAAUCUUAGAGGACAAAAGAAAGCCACUCUCAGGUUCAUCAGAAGAGUGUAAUAUAUAUAUAACAACCCUUCCUAGUACUAAGAUUAACUACCUUUAUCUUCUGGUAUUCAUUUCAUAAUAUAUGCGGUAUUUAUGUUACAUAUGUAUGUAAAUGCAUAGAAAAGUUUGGGAAUAACAAUAAUAAAAUAGGUUCAUUUUGCA